CUUUUUUGAUUAUUCAGUCACACUACCGCGUUUGUUAAUAGACAUUAAUGUGUAAUCGUUUUUGUAUAAAACAUGUAUACACAUAAUCUAUUACAUAUAUUUGUAUACAAAUAUUUAGAAAUCGAGAGUUUAAAAUUAAUUAUUAUGAUAUUAAAGUGAAAUUACUUAAGUGGUGAAGGAAUGGGUUAGUUUACGGGGAUAUGUGAUCUGUGAUUUGCUGACCCCCCUAUGAAAAUAUGUGAUUUUUCCGCAUAAAUGAGCAUGAAAUCGUUGAUAAAGUCACAGUGUCAUCAAGAACCAUCAGCUCUAAAAAGAAGACUCUACUCUAUGAAUAAUAUGGCUGCCGAACCUGUAAGAAAACAGCACUACAUUUAUAUCGCACCAACACCGCCAGCCGAGAUGAUUGACUCUAGCAGUUACACUAUUGCGUUCAGCGACAGAAAAUUUUUGCAAGUGGGCCUGAAUCCAAAGGAUGACUUCAAUGUUACGGUAUGCAUUAUUACUCCUUCACGAUAUAUUAGUAUGUCAGCAGAUUAUUUAAAUAUUAUUUACGGCAUGAGGGAUGAAAUAACAUUAUUUCUACAAUCACCUCCGGUAAAAGGAGAGAACAUUAUGGUAUACCAAAAUGUCGAUUUUAAUAUAACCAAAGUAUUGUACCAUGAUACCGUGCAUUUAGUAUUAGAAUCCAGGAUGGUCGAUGGGUGUCGAGUGUUAUUGAAUAACGAAAACAUUAAUAGACUUAUGGAUUUACAGUGUACUAUUAACAGUACAAUAUCAAGAAAAAUAAAAACACGUUUACUAUUAAGCCAUCAAAUAGACCGCAUUAUACAAUACGCCGACGGCAAAUGGUCAGAUCCUAAAAUUCAACAAUCAAACAAUGAUGAAAUAGUUAAUUUUAUAAGAAGUUUGAACGAUAAAGAAAUAUGCGAUACUUUUCCUAAAGGUGACAGUAAUUACAUAAGCGAGCUGAAGAAUUUAGCGUACAAUGUAAUAGUUGAUCGUUGGGUCAAGUCAUGGUCCAAAGACAUGCUUCAAAUUAAUGAAAAAGAAGAAGAAAUGUGCGAUGAAAAUGAUGGUCCAACAUUUUUCAAUACAACAGUGUAUAGCCAAGAAAAUAGUUAUAGUCCAUGGGCUUCACAAUGGCCGAAACCCAAUCACGUCAGAAAAUUAACUUAUAUUAAUAAUUUAUAAACAAUAACUUUAUAUAUUGUACUAGUUUCUUAUAAUAAACUUAUAAUCUAAAAAUAAAAACAGUGUUGUUAUUUGUAUAUAAUAUAUUUAUUUUAUAAUAAUAAUAAUAAUUACAAGGUUAAUAAUAAAUGUUUACAUAAACAUGUAAAAAAUGAUAAAAUAUACGGAGGGUACCGUCAAAAGGUGUAUAUGUAAAUACAUUGUCUGAAAUUACUAUAGCAUAUGCAGUUGUAUUAGCAGGGAACGCGGAUGAUGCUUCAAUUUCAAUACGUAGGUCAAAAGACGGGACUGUAAUUGUGUCGGUCUGCUUUGACAUAUCAAUCACUGCAAUAGAAUUAUUAUAAUGAUAUUAAAAAAUAAUAUUAAAUAUGGUUAAAAUAAAAAC